ensembl:lncRNA
UAGGUUUACGGUAAACAUUGACUUCAUCUACUUGAUUUCAUCGUAUUCACACAAAUGCUCUUAUGCCCUUUGUUUUAAAGGUUGUUUGUUUUUCCAAAUUGCAGACAUUGAUUUUGUUUAUUCCUUAUAUGCUUACAGGGGUGGUGAUGUUCUAUAAAGGUUCAGGUGUGGUAUAAAGGUUCAGGUGUGGUGAUGUACUAUAAAGGUUCAGGUGUGGGGAUGUAUUAUAAAGGUUCAGGUGUGGUGAGGUACUAUAAAGGUUCAGGUGUGGUAUAAAGGUUCAGGUGUGGUGGUGAUGUACUAUAAAGGUUCAGGUGUGGCGAUGUAUUAUAAAGGUUCAGGUGUGGUGAUUACUAUAAAGCUGUGGUGAUGUUCUAUAAAGGUUCAGGUGUGGUGAUGUAUUAUAAAGGUUCAGGUGUGGUGAUGUAUUAUAAAGGUUCAGGUGUGGUGAUGUAUUAUAAAGGUUCAGGUGUGGUGAUGUUCUAUAAAGGUUCAGGUGUGGUGAGGUACUAUAAAGGUUCAGGUGUGGUGAUGUUCUAUAAAGGUUCAGGUGUGGUGAUGUAUUAUAAAGGUUCAGGUGUGGUGAUGUUCUAUAAAGGUGUGGUGAUGUAUUAUAAAGGUUCAGGUGUACAAUCAAGGUUCAGGUGUGGUGGUGAUGUAUUAUAAAGGUUCAGGUGUGGUGAUAUUCUAUAAAGGUUCAGGUGUGGUGUGGUGGUGAACUAUAAAGGUUCAGGUGUGGCGAUGAUGUUCUAUAAAGGUUCAGGUGUGGUGUGGUGAUGUAUUAUAAAGGUUCAGGUGUGGUGAUGUUCUAUAAAGGUUCAGGUGUGGUGAUGUUCUAUAAAGGUUCAGGUGUGGUGGUGUACUAUAAAGGUUC